CCUACGGGAGGCUGCAGUGAGGAAUAUUGGUCAAUGGACGAGAGUCUGAACCAGCCAAGUAGCGUGAAGGAUGACUGCCCUAUGGGUUGUAAACUUCUUUUAUAUGGGAAUAAAACGUUCCACGUGUGGGAUUUUGUAUGUACCAUAUGAAUAAGGAUCGGCUAACUCCGUGCCAGCAGCCGCGGUAAUACGGAGGAUCCGAGCGUUAUCCGGAUUUAUUGGGGUUAAAGGGAGCGUAGGUGGAUUGUUAAGUCAGUUGUGAAAGUUUGCGGCUCAACCGUAAAAUUGCAGUUGAUACUGGCAGUCUUGAGUACAGUAGAGGUGGGCGGAAUUCGUGGUGUAGCGGUGAAAUGCGUAGAUAUCACGAAGAACUCCGAUUGCGAAGGCAGUUCACUGGACUGCAACUGACACUGAGGCUCGAAAGUGUGGGUAUCAAACAGGAUUAGAUACCCUUGUAGUC
rnacentral:rRNA from 1 species